rnacentral:rRNA from 1 species
AACGAACGCUGGCGGCAGGCCUAACACAUGCAAGUCGAACGCUCCGCAAGGGGAGUGGUAGACGGGUGAGUGACACGUGGGAAUCUUCCUAUUGGUACGGAAUAGCUCAGGGAAACUUGGGGUAAUACCGUAUAAGCCCGAGAGGGGAAAGAUUUAUCGCAAGUAGAUGAGCCCGCGCCCGAUUAGCUAGUUGGUGAGGUAAUGGCUCACCAAGGCGACGAUCAGUAGCUGGUCUGAGAGGAUGAUCAGCCACACUGGGACUGAGACACGGCCCAGACUCCUACGGGAGUCAGCAGUGGGUAGUGUGGGACAAUGGGCGCAAGCCUGAUCCAGCCAUGCCGCGUGAGUGACGAAGGUCUGCGGAUUGUAAAGCUCUUUUGGCGGGGACGAUAAUGACGGUACCCGCAGAAUAAGCCCCGGCUAACUUCGUGCCAGCCGCCGCCGUAAUAC